AAUGUGCCAGAUAUUAUAUUUAAACAAUGAGCUAAUGAUGCUUUGUGGUUUCCCAUAACAAAAUUCUAUAUAGAAAUUACAGUAGUCAAGGACAAAGCGAUGGAUUUUGAAAAAGAUAAUGGAUAAGAAUAAUUAUUAAUACGAAAACAUGAUUAUUAAAUAAUAAGUAAUAAUUAGAUAUAUUAACCGUUCAUCUCUCAACUGCUUCUUGAAAUGCACGGAUUAGAAAGAGCACGUGCAAAUAUUUAACGAAAGUUGUGCGUCGAAGGAAAAUAUCGCAUAGAAUGGUAAAUGUCAGAGGAAAAAAAUUAUCAUUAAUUGUUUGUGUAAGAAACAAUUGAAUUACAUUUUGUACCCACAGAGUUCAUGUAAUAUCAAAAGAAAAUUAAAGAUGUGGCAUGUGCUUUCUAAGAUAGCAGUAUACAAACACAUAGUCAUAUUUCCACCCAUUUCAGUAUUCUUUCAAGAUGAGCUCGAAACGAGAAUUUUAUUUGUGGUUUAUGCUGACUUUUCUUGCUUUUAUAUCAUGCGCUAUAUCUAUACAAAAUAAGACAGAGAAAACAAUGGAACAACGUGUUAUUGCUUUAGAAUAUUCUAUGCGGGUUUUUGAAAGUAGGAUUCAGACGCUGAACGAUUCGACCUACACAGGUUCUAUUGAAUCUAAACCGGUGAUGUUCUAUGCUACAACAAAAAUCCAGUCGUUUAACUUAGAGAAGAGGUCAACAGUUGUAUUCGGAAAUGUUAUAAUGAAUAUCGGAGGUCAUUAUAAUAACUUCAACGGCGUAUUUGUAUCGCCAACAUCGGGAAUUUAUCUGUUCUCCUGGACUGCAUGUACAAACGGCAAUAACUAUGCAUUCACAGAGUUGGUUGUUCAAAACAAUAGCAUAUCAAGGGCUGGAGAGUUUGAGAAUACUGGUCACUAUCACUGUGGAUCAAUGACUGCAUUAUUUAAGAUAAUGAAGACGAUCAUGCCUGGAUACGAACUAAUGAUUAUACUUCUGGCUCAAAAACGCACUAUUUCUACACAAAUAUGGAUGCCACCAGUAACACGUUUCUUGGAAUAUUAGUGUAUGAAGAUUAAUGGGAGUCCUUGAUAACAGCUCUCGUUACUAAUCACAUUGGAAUCAGAAAACAACGGCACGUUUUUAAUGAAUAUAGUAUAUAUAUCUAAUUUGUUAACUCAAACGAAUAUAAAGUAUUUAUAAAAUAAAAUCAAACACUUGUUUCAUAGGAAUAGCUCGCCAACAUGUGCAGCUUACUGUGAUAAUUUUAUUAAAACAAAAUUAAAUUUGA